rnacentral:rRNA from 1 species
UACGUAGGGUGCAAGCGUUGUCCGGAAUUAUUGGGCGUAAAGAGCUCGUAGGCGGUCUGUCGCGUCGGCUGUGAAAACCCGAGGCUCAACCUCGGGCCUGCAGUCGAUACGGGCAAACUAGAGUGCUGCAGGGGAGACUGGAAUUCCUGGUGUAGCGGUGAAAUGCGCAGAUAUCAGGAGGAACACCGAUGGCGAAGGCAGGUCUCUGGGCCACUACUGACGCUGAGAAGCGAAAGCAUGGGGAGCGAACAGG